AACGAACGCUGGCGGCAUGCCUAACACAUGCAAGUCGAACGAGACCUUCGGGCCUAGUGGCGCACGGGUGCGUAACGCGUGGGAAUCUGCCCUUGGGUUCGGGAUAACAGUUGGAAACGACUGCUAAUACCGAAUGAUGACUUCGGUCCAAAGAUUUAUCGCCCAGGGAUGAGCCCGCGUCGGAUUAGCUUGUUGGUGAGGUAAAGGCUCACCAAGGCGACGAUCCGUAGCUGGUCUGAGAGGAUGAUCAGCCACACUGGGACUGAGACACGGCCCAGACUCCUACGGGAGGCAGCAGUGGGGAAUAUUGGACAAUGGGCGAAAGCCUGAUCCAGCAAUGCCGCGUGAGUGGUGAAGGCCUUAGGGUUGUAAAGCUCUUUACCCGGGAAGAUAAUGACUGUACCGGGAGAAUAAGCCCCGGCUAACUCCGUGCCAGCCGCCGCGGUAA
rnacentral:rRNA from 1 species